rnacentral:tRNA from 1 species
CGGCCCGUAGCUCAGCUGGCAGAGCACAUGACUCUUAAUCAUGGGGUCGAGAGUUCGAUCCUCUCCGGGCCGACCA